UUCUGUAAGCCUGCGAAGGUGGCCUGUGAGGGUUGCUGGAGGUAUCAGAAGUGCGAAUGCUGACAUAAGUAACGAUAAUGCGGGUGAAAAGCCCGCACGCCGGAAGACCAAGGGUUCCUGUCCAACGUUAAUCGGGGCAGGGUGAGUCGACCCCUAAGGCGAGGCCGAAAGGCGUAGUCGAUGGGAAACAGGUUAAUAUUCCUGUACUUGGUGUUACUGCGAAGGGGGGACGGAGAAGGCUAUGUUAGCCGGGCGACGGUUGUCCCGGUUUAAGCAUGUAGGCGGAGGUUCCAGGUAAAUCCGGUA
rnacentral:rRNA from 1 species